UAGGCAGUCCGGUAGCGUGCUUGCAUGGGGUGCAAGAGGUCGUGGGUUCGAAUCCCGCC
rnacentral:tRNA from 1 species